CCUGCUUACAGUACGUUCUCAGUCGGCUCCUGGGGUUAAUGAACAAAUGAUUGAACCUGCCUCCUCCCCGCAAAGAUCCACCUGCCAGGAGGCAACGCCUGUGUGCUGGCGUUUCCAGGCCCCUGCCCGAGUCAGCCACCACGUGGAACACAGUCUCAUGGAAAUGCGUGUCCAAGGCCAGACUCCCACCUUCUCCAUAGACCUCUCCUGGGACCUGCCCUGGCUGCUGUUCAUAUGAUGGAUUACCUUAACUGAUUUUCAAAUGUUGAACCAGCCUUGCAUACUUGGAAUAAAUCCUUCUUAGUCAUGGUGUGUAAUUUAUUUUGGUACAUUGUUGGAUUCUGUUGGCGAGCAUUUUGAGUAUUUUUGCAUCUGUAUUCAUGAGAGAUAUUGGUCUGUAGUUUUCCUUUCUUGAAAUGUCUUUCACUGGUUUUAGUAUUAGGGUAAUGCUGAC